CUCAAAAUAGUGAACAUGAAACCAGUAUUUGAGAAAUUAAUUCCUAUAUAUUGAAUAACAUGUCUAAUUACUAGACAAAAUGCUAUUAAGGUGGUUCCUAACAAUACAGGGAGAUAACUCUGUAAAGUCAGCUAAACGUUUUAAUUACGUUGUGUUGUAAAAGGAAUAUUAAGCUUCUCAAUGAUCAAAAUUGUUGUUUGUCAAACUUCUAUAUGACCAGUGUAAUUGCUCUGACAAAAUAGUUGGUUCAGAAUUUUUGAAAUUUUUAUAUUUUUGUAAAAGGGUCAAAGUAAAUACAUUGACAAAAUUUUAUGAAAAUUAAACGAGCCAAAUUAAUUUUAGUGAAAGUGUUGGGUACCACCUUAUCAAUAUAGUCCCUAACAGCUGCAUAAUUCCUUGCAGAUGUGCAAAAUGCAAACUUAAUGUGCAAUAUUUUCUAAAAAAAAAGUUUUUAGUGAAGGUGUUGCAUCAACAACAUUAAUAGACAGAUUUACAGACAUG
rnacentral:lncRNA from 1 species